CGGUUUGCGCGCUCGCUCGAUAGAGCGGUGGUGCCAGGCUGCCUCUGAGCGAUAACGGCUGAACGCCUCUAAGCCGGAACCGUAGCCGGAGAUGGAAGAG